rnacentral:rRNA from 1 species
GAUGAACGCUAGCGGCAGGCUUAAUACAUGCAAGUCGAGGGGCAGCAUGACUGUAGCAAUACAGUUGAUGGCGACCGGCAAACGGGUGCGGAACACGUACAGAACCUUCCUUCGAGCGGGGAAUAGCCCAGAGAAAUUUGGAUUAAUACCCCAUAGUAUUACAGAGUGGCAUCACUUUGUAAUUAAAGAUUUAUCACUUGAAGAUGGCUGUGCGGCUGAUUAGGUAGUUGGCGGGGUAACGGCCCACCAAGCCUGCGAUCAGUAACUGGUGUGAGAGCACGACCAGUCACACGGGCACUGAGACACGGGCCCGACUCCUACAGGGAGGCAGCAGUAAGGAAUAUUGGUCAAUGGACGAAAGUCUGAACCAGCCAUGCCGCGUGGAGGAUGAAGGUCCUCUGGAUUGUAAACUUCUUUUAUAUGGGACGAAAAAGGGUCUUUCUAGAUCAACUGACGGUACCAUAUGAAUAAGCACCGGCUAACUCCGUGCCAGCCGCCGCUGUAAUAC